GACGAACGCUGGCGGCGUGCUUAACACAUGCAAGUCGAACGAUGAAGCCGCUUCGGUGGUGGAUUAGUGGCGAACGGGUGAGUAACACGUGGGCAAUCUGCCCUGCACUCUGGGACAAGCCCUGGAAACGGGGGCUAAUACCGGAUACGACCAUCGGCCGCAUGGCCUGGUGGUGGAAAGCUCUGGUGGUGCAGGAUGAGCCCGCGGCCUAUCAGCUUGUUGGUGGGGUGAUGGCCUACCAAGGGGACGACGGGUAGCCGGCCUGAGAGGGCGACCGGCCACACUGGGACGGAGACACGGCCCAGACUCCUACGGGAGGCAGCAGGGGGGAAUAUUGCACAAUGGGCGCAAGCCUGAUGCAGCGACGCCGCGUGAGGGAUGACGGCCUUCGGGUUGUAAACCUCUUUCAGCAGGGAAGAAGCUUUCGGGUGACGGUACCUGCAGAAGAAGCACCGGCUAACUACGUGCCAGCCGCCGCAGUAA
rnacentral:rRNA from 1 species